GAUGAACGCUGGCGGCGUGCCCAAUACAUGCAAGUCGAACGCUUCACUUCGGUGAAGAGUGGCGAACGGGUGAGUAAUACAUAAGUAACCUGGCAUCUACAGGGGGAUAACUGAUGGAAACGUCAGCUAAGACCGCAUAGGUGUAGAGAUCGCAUGAACUCUAUAUGAAAAGUGCUACGGGACUGGUAGAUGAUGGACUUAUGGCGCAUUAGCUUGUUGGUAGGGAACGGCCUACCAAGGCGACGAUGCGUAGCCGACCUGAGAGGGUGACCGGCCACACUGGGACUGAGACACGGCCCAGACUCCUACGGGAGGCAGCAGUAGGGAAUUUUCGGCAAUGGGGGAAACCCUGACCGAGCAACGCCGCGUGAAGGAAGAAGUAAUUCGUUAUGUAAACUUCUGUCAUAGAGGAAGAACGGUGGAUAUAGGGAAUGAUAUCCAAGUGACGGUACUCUAUAAGAAAGCCACGGCUAACUACGUG
rnacentral:rRNA from 1 species